rnacentral:rRNA from 1 species
GCUACACAUGCAGUCGAACGUGAUUAGAGAGCUUGCUCUUUAUGAAAGUGGCGCACGGGUGAGUAACGCGUAGAUAAUCUACCUGAUGAUUCGGGAUAACACUUCGAAAGGGGUGCUAAUACCGGAUAAGCCCACGGGGUCCUUGGACUCUGCGGGAAAAGGGGGGGAUCGCAAGACCUUCCGUCAUCAGAUGAGUCUGCGUACCAUUAGCUAGUUGGUAGGGUAAAGGCCUACCAAGGCGACGAUGGUUAGCUGGUCUGAGAGGAUGAUCAGCCACACUGGAACUGAGACACGGUCCAGACUCCUACGGGAGGCAGCAGUGGGGAAUUUUGCGCAAUGGGGGAAACCCUGACGCAGCAACGCCGCGUGAGUGAUGAAGGCCCUUGGGUCGUAAAGCUCUGACAGAGGGAAAGAAAUGCAGGGGAGCUAAUAUCUCCCUUGCUUGACGGUACCCUCAAAGGAAGCACCGGCUAACUCCGUGCCAGCAGCCGCGGUAAUACGGGGGGUGCAAGCGUUGUUCGGAUUUAUUGGGCGUAAAGCGCGUGUAGGCGGUUUUAUAAGUCUGAUGUGAAAGCCCUGGGCUCAACCCGGGAAGUGCAUUGGAUACUGUAAGACUUGAAUACGGGAGAGGGCAGUGGAAUUCCUAGUGUAGGAGUGAAAUCCGUAGAUAUUAGGAGGAACACCGGUGGCGAAGGCGGCUGCCUGGACCGAUAUUGACGCUGAGACGCGAAAGCGUGGGUAGCAAACAGGAUUAGAUACCCUGGUAGUCCACGCCGUAAACGAUGAGAACUAGGUGUUGCGGGGUAUUGAC